AUGACCAGGGAUAACCUCAGGAAAAGACAGAUUAUUAAGCCGCUUGAGUGUGUGUUCUGCUCUGAGGCUGAAACAUGCUCGCAUUUGUUUUUUGACCGUGUGGUCUCUAGACAGAUCUGGCCUCUGGUCUCAAAUCACUUCGGGGUGGAUAUUGGAACUGAUUUUGAAUCAGUGGUUAGACUCUGGAUUGCUAACAAAAAACACUCUGCUCUCAACACGGCCAAUGCAGCUGUACUUUGGUGUAUUUGGAAAUAUAGAAACUCUAUGAUUUUCAAUACCACCAUGUGGACAUCCAUUAAGCAGGUGAUGAGGCUGAUUCUAAAAACCAUCAAGAACUGGGUGAUCCUGUCUUCGGAUGGGGUGGCAGAAAGGCUGGAGGCCUUCAUGACACACCUGGCGACCGAUCUGAGACAACCACUGAUGAUCGGUGGCUGA
rnacentral:rRNA from 1 species